rnacentral:rRNA from 1 species
CAGUAGCCGCGGGAAUACGGAGGGGGCUAGCGUUGUUCGGAAUUACUGGGCGUAAAGCGCACGUAGGCGGCUUGGUAAGUUAGAGGUGAAAGCCUGGAGCUCAACUCCAGAAUUGCCUUUAAGACUGCCGAGCUAGCAGGUGAGAGAGGUAAGUGGAAUUCCGAGUGUAGAGGUGAAAUUCGUAGAUAUUCGGAAGAACACCAGUGGCGAAGGCGGCUUACUGGCUCAUACUGGACGCUGAGGUGCGAAAGCGUGGGGAGCAAACAGGAUUAGAUACCCGCGUAGUCCCUGUCUCUUAUAC